rnacentral:rRNA from 1 species
GAUGAACGCUGGCGGCGUGCCUAAUACAUGCAAGUCGAGCGAACAGACGAGGAGCUUGCUCCUCUGACGUUAGCGGCGGACGGGUGAGUAACACGUGGAUAACCUACCUAUAAGACUGGGAUAACUUCGGGAAACCGGAGCUAAUACCGGAUAAUAUAUUGAACCGCAUGGUUCAAUAGUGAAAGUCGGUUUUGCUGUCACUUAUAGAUGGAUCCGCGCCGCAUUAGCUAGUUGGUAAGGUAACGGGUUACCAAGGCAACGAUGCGUAGCCGACCUGUGAGGGUGAUAGGCCACACGGGAGCGUGACCGCGGUCCAGACGCCUACGGGAGGCAGCAGUAGGGAAUCGGCCGCAGUGGGCGAAAGCUUGACGGAGCAACGCGGCGUGAGUGAUGAAGGUCUUCGGAUCGUAAAACCCUGUUAUGAGGGAAGAACAAAUGUGUAAGGAACUGUGGACUUAUUGACGGUACCGAAUCAGAAAGCCACGGCUAACUACGUG